CGUGCCUUGAGCGCAGCCUGAGCCAGCAAUGCCGCGUGAGUGAUGAGGCCUUCGGGUUGUAAACGCGCUUUUAUCUGGGACGAAAAUGACGGUAGCCGGAGAAGAAGGCCCGGCUAACUCCGUGCCAGCAGCCGCGGUAAUAAA
rnacentral:rRNA from 1 species